rnacentral:miRNA from 1 species
GAAGAAACGAGAAUAUCCCAGCCUUGGUGAGGGUCUUGGCGGUCUAGUGGGUGUGCUCAGUUCUUACUGGCCUGCUAAGUCCCAAGCUAUGGUGGGAAUACGCAAGGAUCAUC